rnacentral:tRNA from 1 species
AUUUACAUAGUAUAAAAAGUAUAUUUGACUUCCAAUCAUAGGGUCUAUUAUUAAUAGUGUAAAUA